UCAGGUGUCCUAGGAAGCCGAUUCCGAGUUGGAGAUUUGCAUGCAAGGAGGUUGAAAUGAUAUUCCCAACACCUGUGGAAGAGUGAAAGCAAUAGGAUUGGGCGGAGCAGGAAGUCGGCUGGAAUGCAAUCACUAUCAUGGCCGCAGUCCACUCUACAGGGAUCUUGGUAGAGCAACACUCUGGAGACCUUCUUUUGAGGCAUUUCACCACCAGAGAAUGAUGUUGGAACCAAUGUUGGUAAUUUUGAAAGUCAUGGAGAGGAUUUCAGAUGAUAGAAGUCGGGCAAAUAUCCCAGGUUUAAUAAAUAAGCAAAUGAUCUCCAAGGUUAUAGAGGGAUUGGACAUUUGUGUCUUCAAUUGGC
rnacentral:lncRNA from 1 species